rnacentral:lncRNA from 1 species
UCUUUCUAGAGAUGAGGGAACAGACGACCUGAGAGAAGCUACGACUCCAGCCCAGUGUUCUGGCUGCCAGGGUGGCCUUCUUUCCAUGAACGUCAGUUUCUUCUUGGGAGCCAGGGAAUGCAGUCACCGCUGCUGCUGGUGGAGAAGGAAGCAGUCGAAGCAGCCAUUUCUCUCCCCUCAGUCAUCCAACCAUAAGGAACACCAACUCUGUCUCAGGCACCCUGCACAAAAUGGUAAAUAAGCCUGCAUCCUUCUCCCCGGAAGCCACAGUGCAGUGGAGAGAAUGGUUAAUUUCAGAACAGUGGGGCCAGGGUUGGUAAAAAAGGGACCAGGGCUCGGUGGAAGCAGGGAUAGCCACGCCUAAACCGGCCAAGGUAUGGGAGGACUUCCCAGAACCCUCAGUACCUGGGCCGAGAUCCUGGGCCAGGUUCCCGGUUCACAUUCACCCUGGGCACAGUGUGCUACAGAACCAUUUUGUCCACCUCUCAACACCUAAGGAAAAACCUGUUCAGGAUGAGUGCGUAUCAGCUGAGCAUGGGGAGAGAUGGGGAAAGAAAAGGGGAGCAAACGCCAGGCUGUGGGAUCAGCCCAUGCAGAAGCCCUGUGGUAAAGGUUGUC